GACGAACGCUGGCGGCGUGCUUAACACAUGCAAGUCGAACGGAAAGGCCCUGCUUGCAGGGUACUCGAGUGGCGAACGGGUGAGUAACACGUGGGUGAUCUGCCCUGCACUUCGGGAUAAGCCUGGGAAACUGGGUCUAAUACCGGAUAGGAGCCAUUUUUAGUGUGAUGGUUGGAAAGUUUUUUCGGUGUAGGAUGAGCUCGCGGCCUAUCAGCUUGUUGGUGGGGUAAUGGCCUACCAAGGCGGCGACGGGUAGCCGGCCUGAGGGGGUGGACGGCCACAUUGGGACUGAGAGAAGGCCCAGACUCCUACGGGAGGCAGAAGUGGGGAAGAUUGCACAAUGGGCGCAAGCCUGAUGCAGCGACGCCGCGGGGGGGAUGACGGCCUUCGGGUUGAAAACUCCUUUCGCUAGGGACGAAGCUUUUUGUGACGGUACCUAGAUAAGAAGCACCGGCUAACUACGUG
rnacentral:rRNA from 1 species